GCAUUUUGAUUAAGCCUCGAAGACUGAGAAAAAUUUUGUUCACUGUGUGCAGUCCCAGAGAGGAUAUCAUCACUGUCCAGACACCCACAGUCAUGGGGGUGAGUACGUGGCUCAAACGAAGAUCAUUAGAACAGGCGUUAAUGACAAAGAUCAUUAGAACAGACAUUAACGACCGGUCCGGGGGUGAACACAAGAUCAGAGCAGGGUCAAUCAGGACUUUCUGGAUUAAUAAGAUGCUCCUGCAAAAUGAAGCUAUGACAAUGAAGAACAGGGAACCAAGAUAUAGCAAAAGACAGAGAGAGCCCUGAGAGCAUUAUGUGAUCCCCUGGACCCACCUACGCCUGAAGCUCUAGAUCCUUCCCUGGACUUUUCAGUUACAUGAGUCAUUCAAUGCCCUUUUGCCUUGAGCUAGUUUGAGCUAAAAAAGUCCUGGCUAGUACAGCUGUGAGUGUUAUGCUGAAGAGUUUGGACUGAUUGAUAUAGGACUGGAAAGCCUCUGAAAGUCCCCCAUUCUUAAGUGGUUAGCGAACAGAGACACACAGUGGACAGAAAGACUAUGAAGAGAUUAAAACCUCUUAUCUUCAGCCUCCUAAAUUCACAUGUCACAAGAUGAACCCUUACCAAAUAGGAGCUACUCAGGGCUGGGAAAAACUUCAAGUGGGCACCUGGUCUUCCAGCAUAAGAGGACAUAUAAGCCCAACAACAUGCCUCCGUGGAGCUGGAAGGGUCUGCUUGUGGGGUAACUUCUUACCAUGCCAACAGGACCUUCCAAUCCAUCAUGCAACUGUAAUCCCAGCUACUUGGGAGGCUAAGGCAGGAGAAUCGCUUGAACCCGGAGGCAAAGUGUCAGUGAGCCGAGAUUGCGCCACUGCACUCCAGCCUGGUGACAGAGCGAGGCUCCGUCUCAAAAAAAAAAAAAGAGAACAUAUAAGCCAGGCAACGUGGCUCCUCGGAGCUGGAAGCGACUGCCUCUGGGGCAACUUCCUACCAUAACCUUACUGAUUUAUCACAGCAACAAGGAGACUGAAGGAGGCAUUGCCAGGUCAUAACAGAAAGCAUCCCAUCUCCUGGGCUUUGCAUUCUUUGCACACCUCUGCUUAGUCUCCACCAGCAACUCCACCACUGCCUUCACAGAAUAAAAGACCUGGGAGAAGCAAGAGGCCAGUCAGUUGCAGCUUAGCAUAGGGGUGCUCAGCAGUGCUAUGGCUGCAAUGGAGGUUGAGGCAAGGGCAGGGAGCAGGGAGACUCCAGCACCUGCCAUGACCGGGCUCAGAGGACUCAAAGCAGAUGUUUGCAGCAAUAAUCUUGCUGUAAUUUGACCAAUUCUCAGACACUCAUUUUUCAUAUUUUAGUCACUCUGAAAUAGGGGUGCAUCUUGUAAUCAGCAGUGUGUCAUGCUUUAAAGUUGGCAGCACUUUUGCCUUUCCUGGUGAUUUAUGAAAUGAUGGUGUGUUUUACAAUUGAUGGUAUUGUAGGUUCAACAAAAUAUGGCACAUCAGGACCAGCUGUUCACAAUGUUAAACUAAAACUCUCUAACCAUUCCAAAGAGACAUUUCUAUUAUCCAAAAGCCCAUUGCAGCAGUGGGAGCUGGAGCCACAAAACCAGAAGGGAUCGCAGUGCAGCAAGAGACAGAAAUGAUCGGCCCCACUCAAUUUCUCGGAAGUUGCAACAUACCAAAAUAAAAAGAUAUGGCAUGUGAACCAUUUACACUUGGAAAAUGCCAUAUUGCUGGUUCCUAUAAGAGGUCAUCAGCUCCAAUGGACAUUUCUCAUCUUGAGGACUGGGUUGAUGGCAGAUGGUGACAAAGGUGGUAAGGUGAGAGAGAUGGUAAUUUGACAGUUUCCACAAUAAAACCUAACAUCAAAAUUGUACUUUACAGUUUUCAAACAUUUUCCUGGAACAGCAUGGUGGCUCACACCUGUAAUCCCAGCACUCUGAGAUGCUGAGGCAGGAGGAUCACUUGAGGCCAGAAGUUCAAGUAUCGUCCCUAUAGUCACUGACUAAGAUCCUCGAAGCCUCGAAAAAUAAGAACACUGGGAAAAAGGAAAGAUCUUCCAAAGAAAAAUGAAAGUCUCUGUUGUUUUGUGGUUGCAAGACCAGUGCCAUAAGAACUAAUAACAAUAGCUGUCAUUUAUUGAGUGGCUACUUUGUGCCCAGCGCUGAGCAUUAAAUGCAUAAUCCUCCCACCAAACCAGUGAGCUAGCACCACCAUUAUCUGCAUUUCACAGAGGAAGAAAGUAACAGUUCAGGAGAUGGAUAAAUUUUGACAAGGACUGUUUGUCUUUAGGAGGAAGACUAUUUUAAAAGGCAGCUCAGCGCUCGCUUGGAUGCAGUCUAUCUUCAGAACUGCUUCGAACAGAAGGGGUAGAAAAAUGCUUAUUUUGUGGCUAAUUGAAUUAGUGCCUCUCUCUCAAACAUAAUGAAAUUCAAAGCCAUUUUAUUAGCCCUCUUGGGACUCUCUUUAAAAAUUCUUCCUCUACUGUAUUAGAUUAGCCUGCCAAGAUGACCCUGUAUAAAAUGAGGUCAGGCUUCUUUCAGGGUAUUUCUUUGUUGCUCCUACCUAUACCAGGGCAUGUGAAGGUCACUUUGUUCAGUCCUCCCAUUUCCCUUCCAAAUACCCCAGAAAGAGAUCAGAGUACCUUCUAAACAUCAGAAUCAAACGGGCCCUCCCUCCAUUCUCCCAUAUGCUCUCAGUGGCUAGUACUGUGAGUUUCUGGAUGCAUCAUGAAAACAUCACCUCCCACACCUCAGGGGAACGGAGAUGUGUUUUAAAGGAAAUUAUGUUAGUCUCCAACCAGUGUCACCCCACUUGUCCUCAGAGCCUUUGAAAAACUUGACUAUGUGCUGAACGGUCUUUUGAGGAUAACAUGAUGCAGUGGACUAAAUGUCUGUGUCCUUCCAAAAU
rnacentral:lncRNA from 1 species